rnacentral:rRNA from 1 species
AUGCGGCAGCUUCGGCUCAUCACCAACAUGAGGGCUCAUAAUGACACGUGGUUUGUAGAUUACUUGCUAAGGGUCGGCAAUGGCACUGAGGAUGUCGACGAUCAAGGCAACAUACUACUCCCUGAAGACAUCUGUCUGCCGUCUACAGGCGAGGUUGACGACCUGGAGAAGCUUAUUGACCACGUGUUUCCGAGUCAAGAUGACAACAUGUCUGAUUCGAAUUACAUGACAUCUCGCGCAAUCCUUUCCACGAAAAACGACAAUGUCGACAAGAUAAACAUCCGCAUGAUAGAGCGUUUUCAUGGAGAUGAAGUAAUCUACCAUAGCUUUGACAGUGCGGAGGACGACCCAUAUGGCUACUACGCUCAGGAGUUUCUGAAUGGAUUGACUCCUAACGGUCUUCCUCCGCAUGCACUCAAGCUAAAGCUGAACUACCCUGUCAUACUUCUAAGGAACAUUGAUCCAGCUAAUGGACUGUGUAACGGCACUAGGCUUGUUGUUAGAGGUUUUGAGAGGAACACCAUUGAUGCAGAAAUCGUGAUUGGACAACACGCUGGCAGGAGGGUCUUCCUUCCUUGA